ensembl:lncRNA
CCGGCCCGGCAGCGCACACUACGCGCUCAGCCUGGGCUGCUCCAGGGCGCCCCCGGCAAGGUCCGACGGGAUCCGCCUUUCGCCGGUCCCAGCUCAGGGAGGGGCUUGGGGGCGCCGGAACUUGGGAGGGCCGGUGGUGGAGAGCCAAGAGGGCGGGAAUAGGUCUUGGACGACGUCGUAGGCUUGUGAAAGCAUAGUGGACUUUUGUCUUGAGUGCGCAGAGGCUUUCUGGCAGGUAGGAGGUGCCUGAAAGACCUCUAAGGGAUGUCUGGGAGACACUGGGAUGCGCUGGCAUCUGGGACAGAGCUGGGCUCAGCUAAGAGAUCGCAGAGUUCUGGGCCUCUGGUGGCGUCCACCUUGAAGGGCUACCCCAUGGGUACAUGCUUAGUCGCUCAAUCAUGUCUGACUCUGCGAUCUCAUGGACCUGUAGCCUGCCAGGCUCCUCUGUCCACAGAAUUUCCCAGGUAGAGACAACUAUUUCCAAUUGCCUGAAGUCCACAGGGUCAAAAAAAAGUCGGACAUGAGUGACUGAACAACCUGGGUUAAGAAACUGAGGCCUGGCGCUUCCCUGUGAUUCAGUGGUUAAGAAUCCACCUGCCGACGCAGGGAACGUGGGUUUGAUCCCUUAUCAGGGAAGAUGCCACAUGCUGCUGAGCAACUAAGCCUGUGCACCACAACUAUUUAGCCUGUGCUCUAGAGUCCAGGAGCCGCAACUACUGAGCCCACGUGCCCUAGAUCCCGUGCUCCACACCGAGAGAAACCGCUGAAAUGAGAAGCCCACGCAUGGCAACUAGGGAGUGGCCCAUGCAGCAAUGAAGACCCAGCACAGCCAAGAGUAGAAAUAAUAAAAUUAUUUUAAAAACAGAGUAUCGCACAGGUGAGGGUGACCCAGGCAACACAGCUAGUAAGUGGCAGAACUACGGCACACACCACACCUGUUUACAUUUCUGACUGUCACAUGUUGACUCAUAUGCUUUACUGAUUCCCACUUCCCAUAAGGAUAUGCAGUGUUUACUAUGAAAUGGGCAAAGGUUAAAACAUACGUACGAUAACAUGUGAACUCUUAAAAGGAGGAAAAACACACAGACGCACAACUACAGAGUAUCAGGAAAACCCUGGUGGCUCAGACGGUAAAGUGUCUGCCUACAAUGCAGGAGACCUGGGUUCAGUCCCUGAGUCGGGAAGAUCUCCUGGAGAAGGGAAUGGCAACCCACUCCAGUAUUCUUGCCCCGCCCCAAAAAAAGGGGCUCAAAGAAAUAUGGGCUUCCCUGGUGGCUCAGAUGGUAAAGCGUCUGCCUACAAUGCGGGAAACCCAGGUUUAAUCCCUGGGUUGGGAAGAUCUCCUGGAGAAGGAAAUGGCAACCCACUCCAGUACUCUUGCCUGGAAAAUCCCAUGGACGGAGGAGCCUGGGGUCGCAAAGAGUCGGACACGACUGAGUGACUUCACUUUCACUUCACCACAGAUUAGGGAAGUUAGUCUUUUAGAGGUGUGUAGAAAACUUUUCUUUGAAUUUCAUGACAUUCAUGAAUCCAGAAAUGUAAAAAGUAACCAAGAUGGACUUCCUUGGUGGCCCAGUGGUAAUGUUCUGUGCUCCCAACUCAUGGGGCAUGGGUUCAACCCCUGGUUAGGGAUCUAAGAUCCCGCAUGCCUCACAAUGCAGCAGAAAAAAAGAGGUGGGGCGGGGGAGUGACCAAGAGAAUCAUCCUUAAGUCGCUACAUUUUUACAGCAAAGUGAUUCAGAUUCUUUUCCAUUAUAGGUUAUUACAAGAUAUUGACUGUAGUUCCUGUGCUGUGCAGUAGGUCCUUGUUGUUUAUCUAUUUUAUAUAUAGUAAUGUGUGCACGCUUAGUCUCUCAGUUGUGUCCAACUCUUUGUGACCCCAUGGACUGUAACCCACUGGGCUCCUCUGUCCAUGGGAUUCUCCAGGCAAUACUGCAGUGGGUUGCCAUGCCUUCCUCCAGGGGAUCUUCCUGACCCAGGCAUGGCACUCCCAUCUGUUUGCAUUUCCUGCAUUGCAGGUAGAUUCUAUACCCACUAAGCCAGCUGGGAAGCUCCAAAAUAUAUACACUACUACAUGUGAAAAGAUGAUCAAAAAGGAUUUACGGAACAGAAAUUGUACUCAGUAUCUUGUAGUAUAGCAC